CUCUGCUGUUCAUGCAGCUGAGGGGGAGGCACUUCCUACUUCCUCGGUGCCCUUCAUAUGGCUCCACCUUACUGAGCAGAGACUUGGCAGGCUGCCUCCUCCUCUCUGCACCCCUGAAAUCAUUACCACGUUGCUUCUUGCAUAAUGCUGUGCUGCAUAGAUGCACCAGAGAAGGCUGUAGACAAGUGUGGGCAUGCCUCUUGUGCAGCCCCUAAGAUACCCAUUUGCUAUACCUUUCCUGGAUCACAAAUCACCCCGAAGUUGUUGGCAGGGACUCAGAUCAGAGAGGCUGACACACUCAGUCACCCCACACUGUGGAUCUGACAGUGGAUCUGUUCUAAGAACCCAGUUUUCUUCCAUCUUUUAAAAUUGCCUUUCCCAUAUCCAGAGUUACCAAAAUUCACCGAAUUUGAGUACAUUAUGAUUGAGUAUUCUAUGGAGUCAGAUACUAUCAGUAUUUAUCCAACGGGCAGAGCAGAGACUUCAGCGUUUGCCUGAAGGGGGCUUUGUUUCCUUCCUGACCCAGCGGCAGGAGAAGUACGCAGCUCCCACCAGCCAGGGGACCGCGAGCCUGCCGUCAGUGCUCCAUGGAGCACUGGAGAUGCCAGCACAUUUGGACACUAGACUGGAGACAAGGCAAACGUGUCGGUAUCCUCAGGCCAGGAAGAGAUCAGGGCACUGAAGACGGAUGGGCUCCGCUACAGUGGUGAGUCACAGUCAACCUGUUCUGAACUGGUGGCUCAGGAGCUUUGUCAUGGAGACGGAAAGCUGACUAACACCGGAAACAUCAGGGCUAAAAGCUGCAAGACAAGGCAGGGCAAGAGACCUUCCACAACAACUGUCUCAAAGAAACAUCUCGUCGAACAGAGUUCCUAGGGUCCAAGACGUGGCUCAGCGGUUAAGAGCACCGGCUGCUCUUCCAGAGGACCCGGCUUUAAUUCCCAGUACCCACAUGGCAUCUCACCAACAUCUCUAACUCUGGCGUCAGGAUCCGAUGUCCUCUUCUGCUCCUCACAGGCACUACACGCAUGCAGCGCACAAACAUACGUGUGGGCAAAACAUAAAAAUGAUUUUUUAAAAGUU